rnacentral:rRNA from 1 species
UUGGUGACCAGCGGAGGGAUCAUUACCGAGUUUACAACUCCCAAACCCAAUGUGAACGUUACCAAACUGUUGCCUCGGCGGGAUCUCUGCCCCGGGUGCGUCGCAGCCCCGGACCAAGGCGCCCGCCGGAGGACCAACCAAAACUCUUAUUGUAUACCCCCUCGCGGGUUUUUUUAUAAUCUGAGCCUUCUCGGCGCCUCUCGUAGGCGUUUCGAAAAUGAAUCAAAACUUUCAACAACGGAUCUCUUGGUUCUGGCAUCGAUGAAGAACGCAGCGAAAUGCGAUAAGUAAUGUGAAUUGCAGAAUUCAGUGAAUCAUCGAAUCUUUGAACGCACAUUGCGCCCGCCAGUAUUCUGGCGGGCAUGCCUGUCCGAGCGUCAUUUCAACCCUCGAACCCCUCCGGGGGGUCGGCGUUGGGGAUCGGCCCUGCCUUGGCGGUGGCCGUCUCCGAAAUACAGUGGCGGUCUCGCCGCAGCCUCUCCUGCGCAGUAGUUUGCACACUCGCAUCGGGAGCGCGGCGCGUCCACAGCCGUUAAACACCCAACUUCUGAAAUGUUGACCUCGGAUCAGGUAGGAAUACCCGCUGAACUUAAGCAUAUCAAUAAAGCGGAGGA